GAGAGAGAGAGAGAGAGAGGUGUAUUAGAGUGUUAGUAGCAGACAGAAGACACACACACACACACACACACACACACACACACACACACACACAGUAGAUGAGAUGAGGCUGUGGACGAGCGGACGUUACAAGAUGCUGUGCGUCGCCUUGCUGUGCGCGUGCGCCGUCGGCCGCGUCUCAGCUCGCUCGGACGGCGGAAAUUUCCUGGACGACAAGUGGCUGAGCGGGAGAUGGGAUCAGUUCCGAGAUGAACCUGGAACCUGGACUCCAUCCAAGGCUUUGGACCAAGGUCUCCAUCCCGCCAAUAACCCCUGUUUGAAGGUCAAAUGUGGUCGCCACAAGGUGUGUGUGGCUCAGGACCACAAGAUGGCUACCUGUGUCAGCCAGAGGGGGGUUAGCUUUAAGGAUGCCAGCUUGUACCAGAGUCCCGGGUCAAAGUGCCAACCCUGCCCUGUGGUCCACCCCUCCCCCGUGUGUGGGACUGAUGGACACACCUACUCCACCAGGUGCAAGUUGGACUACCAGGCCUGCAUCAGCGGCAAGAAGAUGGCUGUCAGGUGUGCCAGCAUGUGUCCUUGCCCUCUCACACCUGAAGACAGGACAGUGUGCAGUGAGUCAGAGGUGAAGGAGGUCAUAGGUCGUCUGAAGGACAGGUUCCAGGUGCUGCAUGACAGCAGCAGAGACAGCAAGAGAGACAGAAGCAUGAGAGACAUCAUCAGCAGAGACAGCAGCAGAGACAGCAGCAAGAGAGAGACGGUGGAGGAGAAGAAGAAGAAGUUUGAGGUGGGGGCGUGGCCCGCCUGCAGGGACCCUGUGGGCUGGAUGUUCUCCCACCUGGACACCGACUUGGACCUCCAGCUGGACCUCUCUGAGAUCAGGACUCUGUACUCGGACAGGAAGGAGCCGUGCGCCCACGCCUUCUUCAAGUCAUGUGACACGCACAAGGACGGCUUGAUUGGCGGCUCAGAGUGGUGCAGCUGUUUCCAGCGCUACACAGACUCUCCUUGCAGAGCUCAGCUCGCCGACAUCAAUAGCAAGCACAUCGGGAAGAAGCUGCUGGCAGGCCAGUACCUGCCAUCGUGCGAGGAGGACGGCUACUACCGCGCCCAGCAGUGCCACAGCAGCAGCGGGCAGUGUUGGUGUGUGGAUCGCUAUGGCAACGAGCGGGCCGGCUCACGCACCCACGGCGCCGCCGACUGCGGCGCACCUCUGGAGUCUUCGGGGGAUCCCGGCAGCGGCGACUGGACGAUGGCGGAGGACGAUGAAGACUCGCUGGUCCUCAGCGAGCAGGACGGAGAUGACGACGAGGACGAGGACGACGAUGAUGACGAAUACGUCUUGUAAUUUUAUUUUUUAUUUUUCAAGACAAGCUUGGUCAAAGUGCGUAGGCCAGCCUGUCCACGGUCCUAACAGUCCACAGACUAAAUCAUCAGUGUGGAUGUGGUCACAUGACCCGCCUCCUCUGCUCUCCCGUCUAGACGUAGAUAAGAUAACAUUCUCUUCAUUUCAACUGUAACACAACAACAAUAGGGAUGCAACACAAAAGGCGACACAACUGUAACACACGAAGCUAAAGGUGCAACACAAGAAAGGGAGAGGUGACGUCACAGGAGAUAAAGGGGCAACACAACAAAAGGCGACACAACUGUAACAAAUGAAGCUAAAGGUGCAACACAAGAAAAAGAGAGGUGACGUCACAGGAGAUAAAGGGGCAAAACAAAAAAGGUGACACAACUUUAACACACGAAGCUAAAGGUGCAACACAAGAAAAGGUGAGAGGUGACGUCACAGGAGAUAAAGGGGCACCACAACAAAAUGCGACACAACUGUAACACACGAAGCUAAAGGUGCAACACAAGAAAAGGUGAGAGGUGACGUCACAGGAGAUAAAGGGGCAACACAACAAAAUGCGACACAACUGUAACACACGAAGCUAAAGGUGCAACACAAGAAAAGGUGAGAGGUGACGUCACAGGAGAUAAAGGGGCACCACAACAAAAUGCGACACAACUGUAACACACGAAGCUAAAGGUGCAACACAAGAAAAGGUGAGAGGUGACGUCACAGGAGAUAAAGGGGCAACACAACAAAAUGCGACACAACUGUAACACACGAAGCUAAAGGUGCAACACAAGAAAAGGUGAGAGGUGACGUCACAGGAGAUAAAGGGGCAACACAACAAAAUGCGACACAACUGUAACACACGAAGCUAAAGGUGCAACACAAGAAAAGGUGAGAGGUGACGUCACAGGAGAUAAAGGGGCAACACAACAAAAGGCGACAACUGUAACACACGAAGCUAAAGGUGCAACACAAGAAAAGAAGAGGUGACGUCACAGGAGAUAAAGGGGCAACACAACAAAAGGCGACACAACUGUAACAAAUGAAGCUAAAGGUGCAACACAAGAAAAAGAGAGGUGACGUCACAGGAGAUAAAGGGGCACCACAACAAAAUGCGACACAACUGUAACACACGCAGCUAAAGGUGCAACACAAGAAAAGGUGAGAGGUGACGUCACAGGAGAUAAAGGGGCAACACAACAAAAUGCGACACAACUGUAACACACGAAGCUAAAGGUGCAACACAAGAAAAGGUGAGAGGUGACGUCACAGGAGAUAAAGGGGCAACACAACAAAAGGCGACAACUGUAACACACGAAGCUAAAGGUGCAACACAAGAAAAGAAGAGGUGACGUCACAGGAGAUAAAGGGGCAACACAACAAAAUGCGACACAACUGUAACACACGAAGCUAAAGGUGCAACACAAGAAAAGGUGAGAGGUGACGUCACAGGAGAUAAAGGGGCAACACAACAAAAGGCGACACAACUGUAACAAAUGAAGCUAAAGGUGCAACACAAGAAAAAGAGAGGUGACGUCACAGGAGAUAAAGGGGCAACACAACAAAAUGCGACACAACUGUAACACACGAAGCUAAAGGUGCAACACAAGAAAAGGUGAGAGGUGACGUCACAGGAGAUAAAGGGGCAACACAACAAAAGGCGACAACUGUAACACACGAAGCUAAAGGUGCAACACAAGAAAAGAAGAGGUGACGUCACAGGAGAUAAAGGGGCAACACAACAAAAUGCGACACAACUGUAACACACGAAGCUAAAGGUGCAACACAAGAAAAGGUGAGAGGUGACGUCACAGGAGAUAAAGGGGCAACACAACAAAAGGCGACACAACUGUAACAAAUGAAGCUAAAGGUGCAACACAAGAAAAAGAGAGGUGACGUCACAGGAGAUAAAGGGGCAACACAACAAAAUGCGACACAACUGUAACACACGAAGCUAAAGGUGCAACACAAGAAAAGGUGAGAGGUGACGUCACAGGAGAUAAAGGGGCAACACAA